AGGGGUCAGACCUACAGAGGUGCUUAAGUGCCCAGUUCCUGUUUAGGCUCCAUGUUCUCAAGGGCUAGGAGCCUAAAAAACUUUGUUAAUUGUGGUGUAGGUGUUUAAGAGGGGACUGACAGCCCCCUGUAGCAGGGAAGUGCACCCAGCUCUGGAGUAGGAUGUGGCAGCUUUUUAAGAGCAGGCAGCAGAACGUUAUGGUAAAAGACACCCCAACUAUUUGAGCGGGGAGAUACUAGGUAUGGAGACUAUACAUAAUGGCACUAGAAUUGCAAUUUGCAGGAACUGGAUAGCAUAGAUUAUUUUUAGUCUAGCAAGAACUGUCAAGGAAAAUUGGGUUGAUCAUAUCUAUUUUGUGCUCAUAUUCUGACCAGCUGCAUCCCUAGUCUCUCCUGUAGGCUUUCCUUGGUACCAGAAGGUCUUCAGUUCAUUACAUAUCUUUGGUUUAUGACUCUGGGUAUGACAGUGUGCUUCAGCUUCUCUUGCUCACAGUCUCUUUCCAUCAGCAUACACGAACCUUCCUUCUGUUCAACCCACUGUUUCAAGUUGAUUCAAGUUUCUUCUGUGCUGAAGGCUAUCAACAGUUUCAUAGGCCACCUCUGUUUCUGAUGCUGCCAAUCUGACAGCUGCGAAUCUCCCAAGGAGGAAGAGGUGGCAGUAUCAGAACACGUGUCUGUUUAGCCUUGUACUGAAAUUAGCUAGAAUAGCCAGAUUUUAGAACUGAAAGCAGAAGUUGCUAGAAGAGUCAAAGCCUUUAGUCCUCAUCUUAAUGAGCUCAUGAAUUAAGGGCGUUUUUAAAGGUGUGCUCUUCUUCCUGUUGAAGAGAAUGCCUGAGACCCCAUGAAAAACAGAGCUCUUCGGACCCACGUGUUACGGAGCGUGGGGCAGAGUGUGGUUUGACUUGCAUGCAAUUAACAAACGGUGAACAUGUGGUGAAGAUCAUGCUUGGAAAUGUGUGCUCAGCACCAGAGACUGCAGUUCCCGAUACUACAGCAGGGCAUUACAGACACUAAUGUUUGCUUGUUUGUGGAGCGAUUAGAAAUUGGUUCUGUGGAAUCCUGGCAGCGAUCAGCAGGAUGCGCGUCCGCACGUGCGUGCGCUAAGCCAGACCUUAGAAGUGUAAUCAAUCACGAUGACAUCCUACUUCCUAUUUCAUCUUUUCGCCUGUUUGAAGUUCAUUGUACCGUAUCCCAGUGUAUUCCCAAGGAAGAACGACCAGUCAUUCGCAUUUUCCUCUGGACACUGCCCUGA
rnacentral:lncRNA from 1 species